rnacentral:rRNA from 1 species
GACGAACGCUGGCGGCGUGCUUAACACAUGCAAGUCGAACGGAAAGGCCCUGCUUUUGUGGGGUGCUCGAGUGGCGAACGGGUGAGUAACACGUGAGUAACCUGCCCUUGACUUUGGGAUAACUUCAGGAAACUGGGGCUAAUACCGGAUAGGAGCUCCUGCUGCAUGGUGGGGGUUGGAAAGUUUCGGCGGUUGGGGAUGGACUCGCGGCCUAUCAGCUUGUUGGUGGGGUAGUGGCUUACCAAGGCUUUGACGGGUAGCCGGCCUGAGAGGGUGACCGGCCACAUUGGGACUGAGAUACGGCCCAGACUCCUACGGGAGGCAGCAGUGGGGAAUAUUGCACAAUGGGCGGAAGCCUGAUGCAGCAACGCCGCGUGCGGGAUGACGGCCUUCGGGUUGUAAACCGCUUUCGCCUGUGACGAAGCGUGAGUGACGGUAAUGGGGAAAGAAGCACCGGCUAACUACGU